GGAGGGGACAGCUCAGUGGUAGAGUGUGUGCUUAGCACGCACGAGGUCCUGGGUUCAAUCCCCAGUGCCUCCA
rnacentral:tRNA from 1 species